rnacentral:rRNA from 1 species
AUUGAACGCUAGCGGGAUGCUUUACACAUGCAAGUCGAGCGGCAGCGCGGACUUCGGUCUGGCGGCGAGUGGCGAACGGGUGAGUAAUGUAUCGGAACGUGCCCAGUAGCGGGGGAUAACUACGCGAAAGCGUAGCUAAUACCGCAUACGCCCUACGGGGGAAAGCAGGGGAUCGUAAGACCUUGCACUAUUGGAGCGGCCGAUAUCGGAUUAGCUAGUUGGUGAGGUAACGGCUCACCAAGGCGACGAUCCGUAGCUGGUUUGAGAGGACGACCAGCCAAACUGGGACUGAGACACGGCCCAGACUCCUACGGGAGGCAGCAGUGGGGAAUUUUGGACAAUGGGGGCAACCCUGAUCCAGCCAUCCCGCGUGUGCGAUGAAGGCCUUCGGGUUGUAAAGCACUUUUGGCAGGAAAGAAACGUCGCGGGCUAAUACCCCGUGGAACUGACGGUACCUGCAGAAUAAGCACCGGCUAACUACGUG